ensembl:lncRNA
CCUCACCUCCCCCGCCCCUCCUCCCUCAGAGCCAGAUUUGGGCGAAAAAGGUGCCAGACACUCGAACCCAUAUAGAGAGUCACUCUGCUGGAGAUGGAGAAGAAGAAAGAAAUAAUGAUGUAAGGAGAUGUGUGUGUGUGUGUGUGUGUGUGUGUGUGCGUGUGCGUGUGCGAGAGCCGGAGUGGUCUUCCAUGUGUCUCGCUCACACAAGUGUUAGCGUGUUAGCUUGUUAGCUUGCCGUUUGGCCCGCGCGGAUUGUCCCCUGACAACCUUGAUGAGUUUCACUCUGCGAGGCGCUAACUAGAGCGCAGAUGCUCGGCCGCGUACGCCACGUUUUGCUCGACGCUCUCUCUCCACUUAACGUUUCAAUGCCUGGAAUGGACCAAUCAGAGGAGGUGAGGGGGGGGGGGGGGGGCGGGUCUCUGAACAAUAUUGCCAAAACAUUUGAUGGUGAUAGAAAUAAAGAAAAAAAAGAUGGUUUGCACCACAGAAGCAAGCUCAUCCGCUGUUACCUUGAUGCCUUUCUGCGCUUCCACAUCGAAGAGGCAAAUACUACUUCUCACCGCUACGCUGAUCCGACAGACUUGGUUACCUUGCAAAUAACAAUUCAAAUCAACAGCCAUCAAAUUACUUAAACAAAAGUAAAAAGGUAUCAAAUUAAUAAAAUAUGUAUUUGAUUGGUAAGCCGUGAUUUAAAGAGAAGGGAGAUUUGCUGACGCAUACUUUUACUUAAAGGGGCGGUUUGUGGGUUUUAGUGGCCUCUGGUGGUGAGUUUGCAGGUUGCAUCCAGCGUGUCAUCCCUUGCUCAUGCCUCCUUUCUAUUAUAUUAUAUUGCAUUUGGAUCAAAACCGGUAAAUGUGCCCUUCAUAUGAGGCUUUGAAUGUUUACUAAAUGUUUGCACUGCGUAGUAGCUUCAGUACAAUUUACAACGCAUCACUGCUAAAGUCUAGUCGCUCUAUUUUUGGACCGUAUCCACUUACAGUACACUCUGUGUAUUGAUCAGGAUGGUUUUAACAGACUGCUGUGAGGUCCAUUAACCUGUGGUGAUGACAAAGCAUUAAAAGACUAAUGUGUCCCUGGAGGGGAGGUGUGGGGAGGGGUAAGAGGAGCAGGACAGCUGAGCAGACAACACCACUCUGCACCGUGAAGUGGUGAUAGCUGUGAAGAUGACGCUCGCAUCAUUUGUGUGUAUUAUGUGGUUAUGCGCAUGCUCUCACCGAUGCUAAAUCAGUAUUUGAUUUUCACUUUCACUGCGCCUCAUCGGCCAUGUGAAAUACAGUUUGCCAUGUUGAGGUCGAGGUCGUUGAUGUUCAUUGGGUCGAGGUGGUUGAAGGUCGUUGAAUCGAGGUGGUUGAUGUUCCUUGGGUCGAGGUGGUUGAUGUUUGUUGGGUCGAGGUGGUUGAUGUUCGUUGGGUCGAGGUGGUUGAAGGUCGGUGGGUUGAGGUGGUUGAAGGUCGGUAAGUCGAGGUGGUUGAUGUUCGUUGGGUCGAGGUGGUUGAUGUUUGUUGGGUCGAGGUGGUUGAUGUUUGUUGCGUCGAGGUGGUUGAAGGUCGUUGAAUCGAGGUGGUUGAAGGUCGGUGAGUCGAGGUGGUUGAUGUUCGUUGGGUCGAAGUGGUUGAUGUUUGUUGGGUCGAGGUGGUUGAUGUUUGUUGGGUCGAGGUGGUUGAAGGUCAUUGAAUCGAGAUGGUUGAUGUUCGUUGGGUCGAGGUGGUUGAAGGUCGUUGAAUCGAGGUGGUUGAUGUUUGUUGGGUCGAGGUGGUUGAUGUUCGUUGGGUCGAGGUGGUUGAAGGUCGUUGAAUCGAGGUGGUUGAUGUUUGUUGGGUCGAGGUGGUUGAUGUUUGUUGGGUCGAGGUGGUUGAUGUUCGUUGGGUCGAGGGGGUUGAAGGUCGUUGGAUGAAGGUGGUUGAAGGUCGUUGGAUGAAGGUGGUUGAAGGUCGUUGGAUGAAGAUGGUUGUGUAGGGCACCGUUGUCCGUGGUGCUGAAACUCAGCAGAUGCACAUAAACAUGCUUCCUUGCGUCUGCUUUGUUAAUUAUUCUUUCAUUAAUAAAGGUUUUCUUUGUAUUUGAAGCAGUAGCCUCUUGUUGACGUCUAACAGCUUUUUGCAUGAUAGAAAUGCCCCUUAGCAGAAUGUUAAGAUGAAGAGGAAAAGAAGAAGAAAAAUAAAGGAAGCACAAAAGUACAACCAUGCGGGUUGUAAGUAGUGUAAAGGAUCAUAAAAGUCACAUAUCACAUCUCAUUGGAUCCGCUCAACGGAACAAAUUAGAGACUUUUAGAGAUCACGUUUGUCUUCAAGGCAAAAAAUUGCAUUCAACCGCUCUGAAGUAUCAAAUAUUAUCAGUAUAAUGUAUUUAUAUUCAGUGUAACGUCUGAUUAUAUGACUUUGUUAUCAUCAACUAAAAGCUGAAUAGACCGUUCUAUUUGAAGAUAAAGAGAAAGAGACUCCUCCACCCAGAGGGGAGAAUAUGAUCAACUUUCUGUAAGUACAGGAGGAAAUCCUGGAGAAAACACGUUCCUCCUCCUCUUCCUCCUCCUCUACUCCCCAGUGUCCUUUCUCCUCUUCCUCCUCUGUCCCGUCUUUGUGUUGUGGCCCCUUUUCAGAGGCUUUUUCAGGGGCUGAAGUGGCGCUCGGCUACGCUGAAGUGUCUCCACUGCUGUGCCCGAGCCUGCAAUUCACCCACUGUGCGUGUGUGUGUGUGUGUCUGUGUCUGUGCACGUGUGUGUGUGCGCGUGCAUGUGUGUGUGUGUGUGUGUGCACGUGUGUCUGUGUGUGUGCCUGAGCCUGCAAUUCACCAAUUUCACCGCUAAUUAGCCAACAAAGGCUACCGGCAGGGAGGAGCUGAGGAGGAGGAGGAUGGAGAGGGGGCGGCAUACGCGGGAGGUCCAGGCCUUAGGGGGGAGG